GGUUUGUGGCUCUGUGGUAGAGCACUUGCCUAGAACAUGUGAGGCCCUGGGUUUGAUCCUCAGCACCA
rnacentral:tRNA from 1 species